AAAAAAAAAAUCAGAUCAUAGUAAAAUGUAAUCCCUGCCAAUUGAUCACUGUAGUCAGUGAUCAAUUGGCAGGGAUUACAUUUUACUAUGAUCUGAUUUUUUUUUUUUUAACC
rnacentral:miRNA from 1 species